CAGCCGCCGCGGGAAUACCGAGGGUGCAAGCGUUAAUCGGAAUUACUGGGCGUAAAGCGUGCGCAGGCGGUUAUAUAAGACAGAUGUGAAAUCCCCGGGCUCAACCUGGGAACUGCAUUUGUGACUGUAUAGCUAGAGUACGGCAGAGGGGGAUGGAAUUCCGCGUGUAGCAGUGAAAUGCGUAGAUAUGCGGAGGAACACCGAUGGCGAAGGCAAUCCCCUGGGCCUGUACUGACGCUCAUGCACGAAAGCGUGGGGAGCAAACAGGAUUAGAUACCCCUGUAGUCCCUGUCUCUUAUAC
rnacentral:rRNA from 1 species